GCUCCCAUGGCGUAGUGGUCACUGCGCUCGCCUUGCACGCGGGAGACCCGGGUUCAAUUCUCGGCGGGGUCA
rfam:Asian citrus Psyllid, Diaphorina citri - Florida Strain, whole genome shotgun sequence.